rnacentral:tRNA from 1 species
GGGGUUGUGACUCAGUGGCAGUGCACUUGCCUAGCAUGUAUGAAGCACUGAGUUCAAUACUCAGCACCACA